rnacentral:rRNA from 1 species
UGGGGAAUAUUGCACAAUGGGCGCAAGCCUGAUGCAGCCAUGCCGCGUGUAUGAAGAAGGCCUUCGGGUUGUAAAGUACUUUCAGCGAGGAGGAAGGCGUUGUGGUUAAUAACCGCAACGAUUGACGUUACUCGCAGAAGAAGCACCGGCUAACUCCGUGCCAGCAGCCGCGGUAAUACGGAGGGUGCAAGCGUUAAUCGGAAUUACUGGGCGUAAAGCGCACGCAGGCGGUCUGUCAAGUCGGAUGUGAAAUCCCCGGGCUCAACCUGGGAACUGCAUCCGAAACUGGCAGGCUAGAGUCUUGUAGAGGGGGGUAGAAUUCCAGGUGUAGCGGUGAAAUGCGUAGAGAUCUGGAGUAAUACCGGUGGCGAAGGCGGCCCCCUGGACAAAGACUGACGCUCAGGUGCGAAAGCGUGGGCAGCAAACA